rnacentral:lncRNA from 1 species
GGCCCGGGAGGUGGGGCCGGUUAGGGCGAGGGUCCCCGGGAUCGUAGUGUCAGGCCUUGGGCCAACGUAGGCACUCGCAGUUCCUCCGCCUUCAGGAAGGUCUUUUUGGCAGGGGCCUUACGGGUGCGCGCUUCGGUCCUGGAGGCGUUAUCCUAGCCUCCUCUCCAUCAGCGCCACCCGUCUGGGGCCCGAUAGGAGGGAGCUUUCUGUCUGUCCCCCAGCCUUUGGACUGUCACCAAACAAGCCAUCCGUUCACCAAAUACUUAUUAAGCGCCUACCAUGUGUCUGGCAAGGGAGGUGUAACAGUGAGAAAAACUAGGUGUGGUCCAGGCCCUCCAGGGGCUCAGGGGCUCGUGGAAGAAGUGGACAUUGAAGUACUUACCACACAAAUGAGCAUGAAAGUACAAUAGCAAUAUCUGCCACGAAGGCGAGCAGACAGAGCUAGCAGGGCUUCCAGGAGGAGUUUUGAUCUUGCAGGGACAGGAAGGAGGAGUUAGCUCCUGGGGGGCGGGAUUGGGGGUGGUGGUGAUAUAGACGUGGGGACAGAGUGGAAAACAACAAAAAUAUAAUUAUUUUAGUUCAAAGUUAUUGUGUCUUGAGUUGAAAGGCAGGGCAGUUAGCGACACGGUUCAGAUUUCAGUACUGCCCCUGAAAUCUGAAUUGUGUUCAAAGUCUAAAACGUUUACCUUAGCAAAUCCCUCAUAAAACUCCAUUUGGAAGAGUCCCGAGAGCUAAUUUGUUAAGUAUACUUGCAGAAGGUAGAUGAGGAGACAGAUUAAAUCUUAUUACCUCUUUCAGAUGAGAGGCACUUGAGCCCUGCUCAGCCGUGAGAAUAAGAGGGGGAAUUAAUUCUAAUUGAAUACACUUGUUCUCUCACAGCUGUUGUUCCCCACCAGAACCAAAUGAGCGCAAGAUCUGACAAAGAAAAAAAAAGGUUCAUCUUUUAUUCCGCCAAACACUUUCAUCUAAAUCAAGAGGGUGGGAUGUGGUUAUUGCUGUGUUUUUAGACAGAAUCAACAGUUUCUGGGUCUGAGAUAUUGCAUACACCCUCUCAGUCCCUGUAUCCUCAGAUGGAGUCACCUGAGAAUCCACAGCAAGUCCUAACCGGGGAUGGGUCUGGGUGGUUAAGGAAGGUUGGCCUCAGAACUGGGCCAGGGGCACUGCUUUGCUUUUGCUGUUUUGAUCAGCUCUCUGCCCGCAGGAGACAAGGAAAACCAAUGGGAACAGCCCAGUAAAGGCGCCAUUCCCCAUUUUACAGCUGGGGAAACUGAGUUACAGAGCUUGUCUACACUGAGUCAACAGGAGCAAAUGCUAGAUCAGGUCUAGCUGGAGUACAGUGAUGCAGUCAUAGCCCACUGCAGC